AUUGAACGCUGGCGGCAGGCCUAACACAUGCAAGUCGAGCGAGCGGCGGACGGGUGAGUAAUGUCUGGGGAACUGCCUGAUGGAGGGGGAUAACUACUGGAAACGGUAGCUAAUACCGCAUACCAUCAGAUGUACCCAGAUGGGAUUAGCUAGUAGGUGGGGGAACGGCUCACCUAGGCGACGAUCCCUAGCUGGUCGGAGAGGAUGAUCAGCCACACUGGGACUGAGACACGGCCCAGACUCCGACGGGAGGCAGCAGUGGGGAAUAUUGCACAAUGGGCGCAAGCCUGAUGCAGCCAUGCCGAGUGUAUGAAGAAGGCCUUCGGGUUGUAAAGUACUUUCAGUCGGGAGGCGUUACCGACAGAAGAAGCACCGGCUAACUCCGUGCCAGCAGCCGCGGUAAUAC
rnacentral:rRNA from 1 species